AUCAGGGGCUCAGCAAAGUUUUCAGAUAAGAAGGUGGCCCUUAUAAGAAAAAUGGAGUUAUUUACAGCCUUAUCUUCUUAUGCAAGAAGCAUAUAUAGAGAACUUCAUCGUAAGUUUCUGUUCAGAAUUCUGUGUGGUAGCCACUGAGUCAUGAACUUUAAGUGCUUGAGUUUCGUUUUGAACACCUCACGACAGCCUAUGACGCCGUUUAAUUAUUAUCCCCACUUUGCAGGUGAAGAAACUGAGGCCCAGAAAGGAAGUUAAGGAUCUUGCUCAGGGUCACAUAGCUGCUAAGUAGCAAAACCAAGAUUCAACCUUUAUUGGUGUGAUUUUCAAGGCCAGUGCUCUUAACUACUGCCCUACUGAAUGACUUGGACUGUGCCAGGUUUGGAGGGUUACAGGAAUCAGACACACCUACCCACAGGGAGUUCACAGGCUGGUGAAAAGACGCACUUUGAGCAGGCCACUGAAUGCAGUGUGAAGAAUGAAUUUUUGGAUUAAAUGGGAAGUUGGACCAAAGAUCUUUGACAUCUCUUCAAACAUGAUUUCAAACCUUUACCUGAAGGACAAGGUCUCCUGCAAGAAAAAAAUGAGACUUUGGGCAGCAUGGUCCCAGGACUGCUGGAGAGUCCUAGAGACUCUCCCAGUGGGUUGGCCAGGUCCUCUCUUUUCUAACCACCAAUCUAUGUGACGCUGAAUUUGACACUGAAUUUUCUUCCUUCGCUUCACCAAGAACAUCAUUGCAACAAGUUGAUUGCAGAAGCAUUAUAAGAAUCCAUUUGUUUUCUACUAAUCCAGACAUGAAAAUCUGUAUGCAUGUCAGGAAGCAACAGUUAGAACUGGACAUGGAACAACUGGCUCCAAAGGAAAAGGUGUACGUCAAGGCUGUAUAUUGUCACCCUGCUUAUUUAACUUAUAUGCAGAG